CGAUUGCRUCACYUCCUGAAGUCUGCAGAAAAACUGCCAAAGAAUGACAGCGAAACCAACUGGGACAAUGAUAUGUCCUCCCUGCUGCUUCAUCUCCYCCCACCACCAGCACGAGGGAAGAGGACCAAGAUCAGUGCCAGUGCUUGUACCCUUUCAUAAGUCAUGCUGAAGCAUUGAAGACCAUCUUGAUGGGAGCCACGGUCGACAGCCAUACCUCCUUGCCGUCGGAAGAAGACAGAGCAAGAUUGAYAACUACUACAUCGUGGUGGACAAGAGGCUUGUCCCCUGCCAGGAAAUUAGUGUUCUGAGUGCUUUUGAUGAACUGUUCAAAGCCCACUUUGUCUUCAACCUGACGUAUGAUGAUGCUCUUGUCAACUUCUGCACAUUAGUGCAGACAACCAUCUACAACAUUGAUGUAGGCAAMACAAGAGAGGCCCCUAGCUUGAUAGAGUUGAGGACAAAACUUCUUAACUAGAUAAAUGUAUGUUACGGUGCUUUUGUUGUCAAGCGUUGCACAGAAACAGACAGUCAUGGAUAUCUCAUGUGAGAAUUGAGCAUAGCUUCUAUCCCUCCACAAAGUUUAGAUUGGUCUGUGCUCAAGAUGCUUGUAGAUGGCAGUUUUCAACAUACUCAGUUUAUUUUGUUUUAUAGUAUUCAUAAGGAUAUUAGUCAAGUAGUUGAUGCAUUAAGCUUAGAAGGGCUCUCUCAUGUUGCUGAUACUCCAGUACAGUCAGAAGCUCCACAAAUGGGUGGCGACAUUGGUGUCCCACAUGAUAACACUCAAAGUGAUUGUUUUGAGAAGAAUGGACAGUCUUGAUAAAGAUAUGUGUUUCUCCAUCAUUGCCAAAUAGCAAGCUAGUGGUGUUGCAAAUAGUGUUGUGUCAAC